AGCCUUCUGAGUGACUAGGAUUACAGGAGAGAGUCAGUGGCAUCUUGCAUAAAACUGGAUUUGUUUUUUCAUUUGAAAGUAUUACUAGAAUAAUUUUCAAUAUAAAUUUAGUAUUUUGUACUACUAUUACAUCAAUAUACAUUUUGAGUAUAAUAGUUAUGUUGUAAUUGGGGAAAAGGCCCUUAUUCCUAAAGAAAGACGUGUCAAGGUAUUUGUAACUCAAAUAUUCCACAUUAAAAAAAUGAUAAAACCAAUUCAGUAAACUCUUACAAAUAGCAUAUAAAAAGUAUAAAGUACCUUUGUUCUAUCUCUAGCAAAUAAGAAUUUGUUUGAAUUAUGAAAAAAGUGUAAAUUAAAUGCUCUUGUAACAACUUGCUAUUUUAACAUAAAAGAAAACAUGAAAGUUGAGUACUCACAUACCUGUAAACCUAGUACUCAGGAGACUGAGUCUUAAGGCUAUCAAGUUCUAGCCUAAGCCAUAUAAGAUAUUGUCUCAAAGAGAAAAAAAUACUUAACAUAAAACUAGCUCCGUUUUAAUCAAGUAGCUAUCUACUUCUUUUAGAAAAUAUCCAAAAGAUACAUAUGCUAUUAUACACCUACCCACCAAUUAGGCUAGUUAUUAUUUAAACUAUUCUCACGUAAAAAUUUGAGUGAUAUUAUUCCAAGAAAAAAAUAUAUAUUUCUCAGGGUAUUCACAAAUCUAACUAUCUCAACUGUGAUCAGCUUCUGAGCAAAUGCAAUGUAGACAUGACACUGUUCCUAAAGAAUAGGAAAAAUAUUUAUGUAAAGAUUUUUCUCCCUAAAAUUCCUCUUCCCACACCCAUUUCUAAGCCUAAAAGAUUUCCAAAGCUUUUCUAAACUCCUCCACAGCAUGUAGCUUUAUCAUUCAUGGACCGGCAAUUCACUCUUUUACCUCGCAGAAAUUAAAUACCCAUCUCCAAACUCCACAUGGCAUCAGCCAUCUUUCCAGACUCAAGAGAAGCAACUGGUAACUAGUGUCAGUUGAGGUGCCACAAUGCACAAGCCCUGGUUCCCUGGGCCAUCUGACUGCUCCUACUGCAAGGGGGUCAGGGAAGGUGGAGAGUGCUCACCAUCUCUUAGGCAAUCCUUUCGGUGUUAGAAAAGGUCUUCCUCUUGAGAUGAGACUGCCUGAGUAUCCAGGUUUGGUCUUUGCACUGCAGCUUAUGUCCUGCUGCAUUAUACCCUUGGAAUACCAUGUUUUCCAGAAAUGAGUAAAACUCUUCUGAUGCUAUCUGAUAUAAGGAUAACAAGGCUUCUCAAAUAUUUAUUUUAGACUCUUCUGUAAAUUCAGCUUAAGACUACUCUAAGCAAUUACUUUUUCAAAUAGUUGUCAUUUUUAAAUGGCUGGUCUUUACCCUCAAAGCCCUAGUUUCACAAACAUUCACAGGAUCCUAUUUCAGAAUUUAACUACACUUUUACCUACUUUUUGAUGAUAAAGCAAAAACAGAGAAUAUAGAAAUUACAAGUUUUUGCACACACAUGGACAUUAAAAAUCAGCAGUAGAGUACUUGCCCUGCAUGACAAGGCCCUAGGUUCAAUUCCAAGUCUAGAAGGCUGUAAGGGGAAGUCUUGGUCAAAAUUUAAGCUUCAAAUAGAUUUCUUGGAUGGACAUCUCUACUCAUACAUGCACUAGUGUGCAAGUACAACAAAAGCACAGACUCACUACAAUCAACUGAAAACAGAAAAAAGAUGGGAUAACUAGAGUGACUACAUACGUCACCUAAUUAUUCUAAACCCCAAAAUAUUCCCAUAGGACUCCCACAAUGUUACCACAGAUAUGUGAGAGGCCCAACAUGGUGUCUUUAAAUUUAAAACUCUGUAAGCUCAAUUUAAAGGAGUCAAUGUAAAGGAGGUCAAAU